GGGUGUGACUGCGUACCUUUUGUAUAAUGGGUCAGCGACUUAUAUUCUGUAGCAAGGUUAACCGAAUAGGGGAGCCGGAGGGAAACCGAGUCUUAAUUGGGCGUUAAGUUGCAGGGUAUAGACCCGAAACCCGGUGAUCUAGCCAUGGGCAGGUUGAAGGUUGGGUAACACUAACUGGAGGACCGAACCGACUAAUGUUGAAAAAUUAGCGGAUGACCUGUGGCUGGGGGUGAAAGGCCAAUCAAACCGGGAGAUAGCUGGUUCUCCCCGAAAGCUAUUUAGGUAGCGCCUCGUGAAUUCAUCUCCGGGGGUAGAGCACUGUUUCGGCUAGGGGGCCAUCCCGGCUUACCAACCCGAUGCAAACUGCGAAUACCGGAGAAUGUUAUCACGGGAGACACACGGCGGGUGCUAACGUCCGUCGUGAAGAGGGAAACAACCCAGACCGCCAGCUAAGGUCCCAAAGUCAUGGUUAAGUGGGAAACGAUGUGGGAAGGCACAGACAGCCAGGAUGUUGGCUUAGAAGCAGCCAUCAUUUAAAGAAAGCGUAAUAGCUCACUGGUCGAGUCGGCCUGCGCGGAAGAUGUAACGGGGCUAAACCAUGCACCGAAGCUGCGGCAGCGACGUUUAUGCGUUGUUGGGUAGGGGAGCGUUCUGUAAGCCUGCGAAGGUGGCCUGUGAGGGUUGCUGGAGGUAUCAGAAGUGCGAAUGCUGACAUAAGUAACGAUAAAGCGGGUGAAAAGCCCGCUCGCCGGAAGACCAAGGGUUCCUGUCCAACGUUAAUCGGGGCAGGGUGAGUCGACCCCUAAGGCGAGGCCGAAAGGCGUAGUCGAUGGGAAACGGGUUAAUAUUCCCGUACUUGGUGUUACUGCGAAGGGGGGACGGAGAAGGCUAUGUUGGCCGGGCGACGGUUGUCCCGGUUUAAGCGUGUAGGCUGGUUUUCCAGGCAAAUCCGGAAAAUCAAGGCUGAGGCGUGACGACGAGGCACUACGGUGCUGAAGCAACAAAUGCCCUGCUUCCAGGAAAAGCCUCUAAGCAUCAGGUAACAUCAAAUCGUACCCCAAACCGACACAGGUGGUCAGGUAGAGAAUACCAAGGCGCUUGAGAGAACUCGGGUGAAGGAACUAGGCAAAAUGGUGCCGUAACUUCGGGAGAAGGCACGCUGACACGUAGGUGAAGUGAUUUACUCAUGGAGCUGAAGUCAGUCGAAGAUACCAGCUGGCUGCAACUGUUUAUUAAAAACACAGCACUGUGCAAACACGAAAGUGGACGUAUACGGUGUGACGCCUGCCCGGUGCCGGAAGGUUAAUUGAUGGGGUCAGCGCAAGCGAAGCUCCUGAUCGAAGCCCCGGUAAACGGCGGCCGUAACUAUAACGGUCCUAAGGUAGCGAAAUUCCUUGUCGGGUAAGUUCCGACCUGCACGAAUGGCGUAAUGAUGGCCAGGCUGUCUCCACCCGAGACUCAGUGAAAUUGAACUCGCUGUGAAGAUGCAGUGUACCCGCGGCAAGACGGAAAGACCCCGUGAACCUUUACUAUAGCUUGACACUGAACAUUGAGCCUUGAUGUGUAGGAUAGGUGGGAGGCUUUGAAGUGUGGACGCCAGUCUGCAUGGAGCCGACCUUGAAAUACCACCCUUUAAUGUUUGAUGUUCUAACGUGGACCCGUUA
rnacentral:rRNA from 1 species